GAUGAACGCUGACAGUAUGCUUAACACAUGCAAGUCAACUGUGGCGGACGGGUGAGUAACGCGUAAAGAACUUGCCUCACAGCUAGGGACAACAUUUGGAAACGAAUGCUAAUACCUGAUACUGUGAGAGAGCUUUGCGUCCCAUUAGCUCGUUGGAGAGGUAACGGCUCAGCAAGGCGCUGAUGGGUAGCCGGCCUGAGAGGGUGAUCGGCCACAAGGGGACGGAGACACGGCCCGUGCGAUGACGGGAGGCAGCAGUGGGGAAUAUUGGACAAUGGACCAAAGUCUGAUCAAGCAAUUCAGUGUGCACGAUGAAGUUUUCGGAAUGUAAGGUGCUUUCAGUUGAGAGGCGGUACCAGCAGAAGACGUGACGGCUAAAUACGUGCCAGCAGCCGCGGUAAUAC
rnacentral:rRNA from 1 species